rnacentral:lncRNA from 1 species
GGAAAAUCAGCAGAUAAAAUUUGGAUUAAAAAUACAAGGCCGUACACUUAAUUUCCUAGCUUAUUCAAAUAUACUGUCGGCACUAAAAAACAGAGCUCAGUGGAAAUAGUGCUGUUAUGAACCUGGCCAACAGGACACUGCUGAACAGCAACGCAGGGGCUGAUAUAUGCAGGGGAACAUGAAGCUGCUUCAAUAGCAGGCCAGGAGGCAACAGAGAGAGCACCUGGGCCACUGCUGAGGCUGAAGGCUUCCCUCCACCCUGCUCAUUUCCAGUCUCUUGAUCAUCCUAGUCUCUGCUACACAUGAGAUGGAUGAAGCGUUUCUAGCACAGAUGAAAAAGAUCAGUCAGAGAGGAGGAAAGAAAGAAAGACAAAGAUUAUGAAGCACUUCAGAGAAUUAAGCACAGGAGUGAACAGCACACUACGUACAGACACGCAUGGAGCAGAAGCAAGGAAGAUGUUCUUCGAUUCAUCUUCUCUUACCAAGAAGAACAACCCCAUGAAAAUGAAUGCUGAGGAGCACAAAGCUGUCAUGGAGCUCAGUGUUGAAGACCAAGAAUCCAUGUUCUUUACAAGCCAGACUUGCACGAGUUAUUCAAAGUGGAUGGACAUUCAGAGAGAAAAAAAUAUCGACCAAAUCUGAGCACUGCCUUCACACAAAGCACUGACAGAAGAGGAGCACAAGCCCAGGCUAAGCCAGGCAGCUGAGCAGCGGGCACCACCUUCUCCUGCCCCCAGGGGCAGCAGCGACAACUCCAGGAGAGGGGAGCAGGGAGCACAAAACAUUGCUCCAGUUAUGAUCUGUCAGCACUAGUGGAUAUUUGCCACCACUUAAAAUCUGCUGUGCUGUCUCACCCAGUUGCUGCACACACACUGGUGGUAGCGUUGAGUAGACUAACAAUUAAUUAAAAACAAACAAAAAAUACAGCAUAUUUCCUCAUGCUUUCAUGAAGAAAUGAGAGUACUGAGAAAAGACGGCACCAAAGAUUAUUCAGCAACCUCCACAGUUUCCUAUUCAAC